rnacentral:rRNA from 1 species
AGUGAACACUGGCGGUAGGCCUAACACAUGCAAGUCGAACGGCAGCACAGGAGAGCUUGCUCUCUGGGUGGCGAGUGGCGGACGGGUGAGGAAUACAUCGGAAUCUACUCUGUCGUGGGGGAUAACGUAGGGAAACUUACGCUAAUACCGCAUACGACCUACGGGUGAAAGCAGGGGACCUUCGGGCCUUGCGCGAUUGAAUGAGCCGAUGUCGGAUUAGCUAGUUGGCGGGGUAAAGGCCCCCCAAGGCGACGAUCCGUAGCUGGUCUGGGAGGAUGAUCAGCCACACUGGAACUGAGACACGGUCCAGACUCCUACGGGAGGCAGCAGUGGGGAAUAUUGGACAAUGGGCGCAAGCCUGAUCCAGCCAUACCGCGUGGGUGAAGAAGGCCUUCGGGUUGUAAAGCCCUUUUGUUGGGAAAGAAAUCCAGCUGGCUAAUACCCGGUUGGGAUGACGGUACCCAAAGAAUAAGCACCGGCUAACUUCGUGCCAGCCGCCGCCGUAA